GCUUGUUCUGUCAGCAUCUGUAAAACAUGUACCCUGAAAUUACAAGGACCUGCGAAGCAAAGGAAAGUUUCCUGGGGCUGGGGUGGGUCCCAGUGCUCCUUUACACACUGAGGAACUGAGAAGCGGCAGGUAUGUGGGAGCAGGGGGAGACCGCGGGCAGGGGGAGGUGCUGGGGUACAGGCUGCCCCAGCCCCAUGGGUCUGUCUGUUCUUUCUGCUCAGCCCAGCUACCCACUGCUGGGAGGUGUGCUCUGUGUCACCCUCACCCUCUCCUGCAGUCCCCGAUGGCGGACUCUGUCAUUGUUCUUGCUUUACAGUUAAGGAAACUGAGGUCACAAAGUGACACCUGUGGAAUCCUAUCUCCAGCGCAGGGUGACUGUGGAUUAGAGAACCUGAAUGCAUCAUGGUUAGAACAAAGAGACUGUGUUUUCCCAGACUGAAAUUGUAAGGCCCAGUGAGAUAGUGACUCUGACAGAUGCGACCGUCCAUUAAAGGAAGUCAGCUUGCGCUUCGUGCUCCUACCUGUCUCUCAGGACUCAGUGUUUGAGAGUUAGGAGCUCCAGUUUUGGCCUUCACCGCGGACUGUUCCUUGCCUUCCAUCCCCAACCCUCUGGCCUCCUGAAACAGACCUGCACAGGACUCGCUAGCAAGAGAGAAGACUGGAGUUCUACUUGCUGUAUAUAAAACCCCCUAUAACCUCUUAACAGGUGUUCCAAGGAUACAGAAAACUACUGUUCUGCUCUCCUUUGAGACAUCUUGCAUGUCACAGAGUUCAGAUCCAACCACAAGGGUAGAGGCGGGAAUCGCAGAAUUAAAUUGGUCCCUUUCUCCAGCUUCAGAGCCAGAAGAGAAAGUAGAUUGCCAUUUGGAUAUGGAAGCAAGUGGUUUUGAGAACACUUUUUAUUAGAUCUCAUCUGUGUCCUUUUCUGUUAUUCAUGGUCUCCUGAGGGAGAUUUUAAUGUUUCUGUAUAGAUUUAGGUCAUUUGCUUCCAAGUAAACUUUAUUUUUUAAGAUUUUGCUCCAUGAAAAGUUUUCCCUGCUAGACUUCCUAGAAACAAUAAAAUGCCAACAAAUAAGGAGGAUCAGAAAGCUGCAGUUCUCUGGAACAGGCUCUUCCAGGACAGAACAGAAACCAUAUGUCUACUUCAAGCAUAUUUGGAAAAAACUCCCAUCAUGUUUUCACUCAUCUUGAGGUUUCGUGUAGUUAAUGGGAAGAGGAAGGCUAAAAUAACUGCAUAAACCUGAAGAAGAUUCUUGACCUGCUAAGAAUUUCUCUUCAGAUGCAGGAAAUGAGAUUAUCAUAUUUUUGGAGGGGUCAGCACUAGGGGAAGGAUUAGAAGAGCGUGCAGCAAUUAAAAUAAAAGCAGAGGAAAAACACAGCACACCCCUUCUUCUGCCGUGACACCUCGUAAAAGCAAAGUCCCAACCCAAACAAUGAAAACCCAAGAGCUCUAAACAAAAUCUAGUACGCUGAAAGGUCUCAAUAAAAAUAUGUAGCACUAUAUAUUUAAAAAAAGGAGAGCAGGAUGUUUUCAAAGCUGUAGAACAUCCAGCCAAGCAGGGGGAGACUAUAAAAAUGUACAAAGGGUAAGGUCCUGUUGGAACUGUAAGUUUUCCUACAAAAAUCCUUGAAGAGAAGGUCUCUGAUUCCCUUUCCAUAGAGAAAGGCAGCUCAGAAGGUUUCAGUUUCUUAAUUUUCAAGUUCAACAGUGAGCGAGCUACAUGCUACAUCUCUCUUUUAAAGCACCCAUGGCGUGCUUGCAUAAGAAAAUCAAGUGAAGUUUGUUCUGUGCUACCUACUACAGAGCAUGGUGCUUGCUUUAUCAGGUUGGUUGUAUUUUCAUUAUUAAUCAGUACCAUUUUUGUCUCAUCCCCUGGUCUAUUUCCUAUGAAUCAGAGAAAUAAUUGCUUUUCAUUUCAUUUUCUUGUUUCUUUGAAAAGAAAGACGACAACUGGUAGUUUUGUCUAAAAUUAUGGUAAGGUGAUUCUGCGGUGAUGCUGUUGGAAAAGGGCUGUGUUCCAGGUAUCCCCUAUGAUAACAGCAAAACUUGCCAAGAGAAGCAUCUUAAGAAAGAGUGCAGUUGAAUCCUCUAGUUUUCUCCAGCCUGAGAGGGUUAUUCUUUAAAUAACAAGCUUUUCCAUGUGCUGACUCAGGUGCAAAGUUGGAUUAUGAGGUACAUGUUCUUUCUCUCAUUUUCAAAAAUCAGCUGCUUAUUAAAUUACAAUAAAAACUAAUAUAAAUAAAAGUUGGGGUGUGUAAUUUUAUCCCCAUUGUAAGUAUUUUUUCUACAAUUCCCCAGCUAGAAUUUUGGGAUGUCCCUAUCUCUACGUUAAUUUUCCUUUUCCCUUGGAUAAAAACCUCAUGGUUUCGCUGGAAUGGUACAAGAAGCCUUUCCUCUGUGUUACGAUUGAAGGUGCUAUGUGACCCAAGAGAGAGGUAUUUGCUGUCUUCUCUGAAACAAUACAGUGCCUCUCAUAGCCUAGGAAAAUUUGAAUAUAAUAAGAAUGAACACAGGGUCUCAAGACUUCUUACUACCCCAAUAUUUUCUAUUUGGGAUGGCCAUUUUUCCAGUGGAUGUAUCAUGGAGUGAACUUGGAAAGCAUUGCCAAAUUACAUUUGUGAAAAGAGAUGUCCUGUUCUGGGUAGAUGUUUAGUAAUAUUCCUGGCUUCUAGCCACUGAAUGCCAGUAGAACCUUCUAACCAUCAGGAAAGGGAUUGGCUUCAAAGUGGAAUCAUUUGUGUCAGACUCUGGCAAAACAGAACUCAGGAAAGUAUCCAAAGAGGAGCCUGGUUAUCUUCUCCAUCAAAGCUUUCAACAUGGUCUUGAUAGUCACAAAUCUGAAGUGUAUAUAUCAAUUUUAAAUAUCUUUCUAUCAAAAUUCUACAAUUUACUCAAAAGCACAAUGUUGGUCUCAAAGAGACAGUGGCCUGGAGGCUAAUGAAAGUAGGGCGAUAUUUCCAGGAGAAGAAAAAGGCAGAGCACAAGGCCACUUAGGAUUUUAAAAAUAAAAUACAUGCAUGGACAGUGUGAGAAUGAGCUUGUGAUGGCUUUAUCUAGAUGUUUGCCCAAAGCCUCAUGCAGUUAUAGGUGGGGAGUUUUGAAGGUGGCCGGAUUAGGAGGUGAGGCUGGGAGUAAGGAUGUGGGGCCCAAAUUAAGAGUGUGAUGCUGGGGCUAAGAUGGUCUCAUACUGGGUGUGGGUGACAUCACUCAAAAGGCAGGCAGCCUGGGUGGAAUUCAAGGGGCAGAGAGAAGCUGCUGCUGCUUCACUGAGUUGCUGGCUUCUGCCUGCCCUGCCACUCCAUGGACUGUUUCUCCUUUGCAGUGUCCCUGUGCCAUGUGCCACCCUGCUUUGCAGCCAGCUGACUAUGGACUGAAACCUCCUCAAACUGUGAGCUAAAUAAACUUUUCCCCCUUGAACUUAGAGUGCUGGAUAUUUUAAUUGGUGGUUAGACAACACUAUCUAAUCACCUAUUAAGAUAAGAAAUUGAGGUCCAAGAAGUCAAAUGAUCACUUUUAGAACUUCCCUUACAUUUUGUGUUUGAUUAGGCACUUUUGUGAAUGAAUCCAAAGGAUGAUAAUUGCUCCAAGACAUAAAGGAAAUGAUAAAUAGCAAUAAUCCUUCAUCUCUGCACUUGCCAAUACCCCACAGAUAGCUACGAACAUCAUGUCUGCAGCUCAUUAUGCAGAAUGUUUAUCUUCUUAAUAAUCUCGUGCUGUUCUUUGGGAAGAGCUGGUUUCUCCAGCAACUUACUUAGCCUUCAGCAAUAAGAUUCAUUUUUAUAGUAUUUGCUCCACAGAACUUACCCCACAGUUGAAAUGCUACAUGUGGAGCUUGUGUUCUUUUGGUCAUAGAUGUCCAAAGUUAAAGGGGGGAAGAGUAGAGUUCAAAGCUUAAUACAGUGACUGGAUUUUAUUUGUCAAUGGCUUAAAGUUUUGUAAGCCUUUUUAUAUUGGGAACAGGAAACCUGCCGGGAUUAUUGCCUCUAUUUGGUGAGUGGACACAGCAAGACUUUCUUUAGUCUGACAAGUAAUCAGAAAUUUUGAUUUUUCAGCUUAUAAAAAUACCUUAAAAAAAGAAGUAUUUUUUUCAAAAUAUUUUGAACAAAAGGAAAAAUUUUAAAUUUUAAAUGGUUAUCUAUGUGCUUAUUUCUAUCUUGCACUGGUUCUCAACCAGGGUCAAACUUACCCUCCAGGGGACAUUUAACUAUGAUCAGAGGCAUUUUUGAUUGUCAUGACUGGUGUCAGUCAAAUAAACAAACAAGCAAACAACUCAAAACUACCACCACCACCACAACAAAACAGACAUGUAUGAUGGUGCGCUUUGUGAUCCCAACACUCUGGAUUACAAGGGUUAUAAUUUUGAGCCCAGCGUAGGCCAUUUAGUGGCUCAGGACCCUGUUUCAAACUGAAAAAUUUAGAAAAGGGCUGGGGAUGUAGCUUAGUAUGAAGGCCUUGGGUUCAGUCUCCUGUAUUGCCAAAAAAUAGUCAAACAAACAAACAUAGAGAUGAAUCUCUAUGCAAAACAAAGACAAAUGGAAAUAUCUAGGGCCACAGGUACAGGCUGAGGUUGUCUCUUGUAUGUUUGAGAACAAAGGAAAGAAAGAAAGAUGAGUUUGUUGGUUAGGAGAACACUACAUAGGGUGUUUCUAAAGCAAUCUAUUGGCACUUUUGGCAUCACUGAGAGCAAGUGAGCCUGGAUGGGGUGCUGCAGUUACUAUGUAAAAUGAGCCCAAAGCUUGAGCUGCCUCUUUCCUUGGAUUGAGUUUGAGAAUGGUUGGGUGAGUGUUCUUGCAGAACUGCCUCGCUUCCUUGUGUUGCUAGCUGUCUUUGGGAGCCAGUGUGGUAAGCUGCACUCUGAGAUUCAGAAAGUUUUCCCGCUGUACUUCCGUCAUCAGGCAAAUCACGCCUAAGACUCCCCCUUCUCGGUCUUCCCUGACUCCAUCUGCCAGACUUUGACAUAGCAGCUCCACUUUGAAUCUGAAAACUCACUGUGGUGGGAUGGGCUUCUUGCACCUGAUUCCUGACAGUGAUCGGGAAACACUGCUACAGACCCACAGGCACAAGAAAGUCAACCCUUUCCCUUAGCAAAGAGUCACAUGACUUAAAUGGUGGUAUUUCUGGAGCUAAGAAAUCUUGUAUAACUCUUUCCUCUUUCUUAGAAUUUUAGCAGUUUGGAUGGCUUACAGUGGCUGGACAUUCAUUUAUAUAACAUGGCCAUUUGCUAAUGUUCUUUACCCUUUUACAUAUUAGAGAGGCGGACAUUAGUCAAAUCUUGUGCCUCCUUCUGACUGCCCAAGACAUAACCCUGGGAGCUCGAAACAAUAAUGUACAUUAUGCAACUGCAAACCAUGUAUGUGAGACUUAAAAAGCAAAAGAAUAUUGCCAGCCUCUUACCCUUCUUUCACCCCCAGUAAAUGCAGCAGAUUCUUCCUGCACUACCACAAGCCUUGUAGUCAUGAAAAACGAACCAGAACGAGGAGGAAAUAGACUCCAUUCUCCUCCUUGUCUUAAGCCUGUAAAACUGUAUUGCAAUUGGGACAAAGUAUUCUGCCUUUAUGACCACUUUAGUUUACUACAGAAGACAAACGUUGAACAUCUUUAUCUGAUUUAGCCACUUGUCCACUGUCCAGGUUUGGCUGAUGACUGGAGCAUGUUUGCCCUUUCCCACAUGUUUGAGCAGAAGAGGAACAGAUGCAUUUGUCUCCUUGCUGCACUCUGAAGAGUUCGUUUGUAGUUAUGCUGGUGUGUGCCAUCUUCCUAGGUCUGCGCGUGUCACCAUGGAAUCACGCAGCUCUAUCACUUCUGUAAAAGUGUUCUUGCACACAGGCAUAGCUCCCUUGGUUGCUAGCUGUCUUUGGGAACUAGGGUAGUAAACCACGAACUCUUUUCUUCUUCACUUUCUCCCGUUUUUCUUUCUUUUCUCCUUCUCUCCCUUUUCCCUUCCCUUCCCUUUCCUUCCUUCCCUUCCUACUUCCUUCUUUGUUCUCAAGUCCAUCUAGAUCUCUGUAGCAUUUGGCAUAGCUGAUGUUGAGUACCCUUUCCUCAGUUUUCCUUCCACUUUUUCUCUGGCCCUUUAUUAUCAGUUCUUCCAUCCCUUUUGCCACAGGUCUUUCUUAACCAAAGUUCUAUUGUUAGACUUCAUCUGUGUUAGCCAGCUUCUCUGUGACAGAUAUCUCACUUUUCUGAUCGCUUACACCUUAUCCACUUCCUGAGGCGCUGAUCCCAUAUAGACAACUGACUGCCAGAAACUCACUUGGUUGUCAGUGUGAGCAACACAGAAAUCUUCCUUCCCGCAAGCCAGCUCCUCCUUUUGACUUUUCUGUAUCGCUAAAUAGCUGAGUUCUCCAGUUUCCCAGGUUCAAGAGCUUGGUAUCACCUCCAGCUCUUCUUCGUUUACUGUCUCCUCAGCCGAUAAAUCUUCAAACCAUGUGGAGCUGACUUCCACAUUUUUUGCGGGAGGUUUUAUUUUGUCCAUUCCGUCACCCAUUCCUGCCCAGCAUCUGAAGGACACUUUGCACCGCCCCUGCCUUCCUGUUCUAAUCUGUUUAUGUUUUUUAAUCAAAAUAUCUUUCCCCUGAUCAUUUCCUUCCUAAACUCAAAGCCAUCAGCUGUUCCUCUGGAAUGAGGGGCACAGCAUUUCGGACUCCUGACCCACACACAGGAAGCACAGCCCAACGCCUCCCACAGAUUUUACUCUUGGGGUCUGGCCUGGUGCAGACACAGACUACCACCUCUGCCGCUGAUGUUUAUGUUUUAUCAGCUCCAUCUGAGAUACCCCUCAUUCACCAAGCCCUUCUGCAUUUCUCCCCUUACAAGCUCCAGUGUCUCUCACUAUCUUUGUAAGGCACUGUGCCUGUUGGGUGUCUAUUCUUGCUGCUAGGUUUUGUAAUUUUUGUCACCUCCCUCUCUUAGAUUAUGCCAUAUCUUCCAGGUCUCAGCACCUCUGUUCCCUAGCACAGUGGUUUUGGGUGUGGGGUUAGGGGUCUGUCCUGAGAGCGCCCAUAGUUGGGCACAGCUCCUGUGAGGGAUGCAGUGCCAAGCCAGCCCUGGAAAAAGGGCAAGACCAGGGCAGAAGUGCAA